GACUCAGUGAGAGAGACUCAAACAUUCCAACCCUGAUCGUUGCACAUUUGAAGCAGAAUUCCCAAGGGAUCGAAGAAGUGGACUCAGUGAAAGGGAGAUCACACAGACAACUUAAAGACAAAGAGAAGGAGAGAGAAAGGUUGAAAAGAAAGAGAAAGAAUAAGGGAGCAGGGAAAGAGAGAAAGAAUGGAAAGCUGAAGACUUCUCAUUAACAAAUAGGGAAGGCGGAGAACAAAAAAAACUACCCCCACAGUAGAACACCGUCACAUUUUGUUGCUGACAACGACCUCUUCAUUUUCUACAACUGUUGGGACGCACCACCUGCCUAAAAAUGACCCAGAGAGGAGGGAGAGAGUUGGUGAUAGAGGGGAGGUGGAGAAAGAGAGAGAGAGUACAGAUCGAUAGAGAUAAAGAAGAGAGAAGAAAGCACAGAAUAUUCUCCAAUGAAACAGUAGGAUCAUAUACACACUGGAACCAGUGUUAAAUUAAUACACUGCUUAGUGUAAAACUGUAUUAAAAUUGUGAAAUGUG